GUGGCGCUGUCCAGCGGAAUGCGCGCUCCCACAGACGCGCUCUCGGAUAUUUCGAUCGGGAUGACGGCACGGGCGAACUGUGGCGCGUUGUCGUUGAUGUCAAGCACGUCCACCUCCACGUGAAACAGCUGCAGGUGCUCCGUGGGCAACGGCUGGGUCUGUCUCCCUGUCGUAACAGAGGAUGGCUUCCAGUGCCUGCAGCCUGGUUCUCGGGUCUGCCUGUGUGAGCUUUUUUUUCUUCUUCUUGGUGGGUGAGCGCACAAGGAAUGAACGGGCAAAGAGGAAGCCGGAGAAUAUGAUGGAGGAGGAGGGGUGCAAGGAUGGCUGCUUCAAAGAGAGACCUCCAGCGAUGUGCCUGAGGUUCCCAUCUGUCAGCAAGUGGGGUGGGAGGAGACGAGUUGGCUGUGAAGCAUCAUCAUCAGCAGUGUACUGAAGCCAAUCCCGAACUCCACCUCGUCGCCAGAUUGACUUUAGCAGUCACGCUGUCAGUCGCUUCUCGCUCGGAUCACUACUACUGCACGCAAAUCUCCACGCCUGUACUCCUGUCCGGAAUCUCCACGCCUGCUUCGUUGCCUGCACUCCUGUCCGCUGAAAUCGUCACCUGACCCAGAACUCACACCGCAAGACAUUGCUGCCUGCCAGAGUGCCAGUCUCCUAACCCUCUGGACAUUCGUUGAACUAAAUAAACUCUGAAUUCUGACCUGCCUUUCUGUAUCUGCUCUUGGGUCCCCUCCUGCACCGCAAACCGUAACAGUUCGAUCUGGCCAAAGAAUGGACCCCGCAGAGACGGAACGCCUUAACGGACAAGCGGUUCUGUUAGAACAACAUGAUCAAGCUCUCCAUCUACUCCUAGGCAAGGAGGAACUACAGGACAUCAGGUGUCACAGCACUGACUCCAGCUGGUGUCAUUUGCGAAUCGUAUGCAAUCAGAUACGCUCAUACUGUCCGAGGUCUGAGUGCAGUGUGUCACGGAUCUAUAGUACGUGUGUCACUGAAGAUUUGCUUUUGUACCCGGAUGGGUGUGUCUGAGGGAUGAGUAAGUCAUGUCUUCUUCUCUGUUGAUCCCUCUGUGAGUGCAGGUAGUACAGCCUUUUUUUUUUUUUUGUGGAUAAAUUCAAGUUAGAAGGUAUGGACAAUGUGGGAGAGUGCUACCUGAGAGCACAUUUUCCCCCAAGGACGAGAGAAUCUUGAGGAGUGUAAAUGUGUAUUUGUUUCCGCUUGCAUGUGAGUGUGUGUUUUUCUUGUAUAUGUUGCACGCGGAGCCGAGGGACAUCAGCGAUGUCACCACUGCCCCGAUUUCUCACAUCCUUUUUAAAAACACAAAACAGACAAACCUCCCUUCUCCGACACAGCACUCUCCCCUCCAGGGAUGGACUGAAGGAGAUAUGCAAUCGUAGCAAGUGUUUGAUUUUUCUUUUCUUUUUUUUUUACUUCCAUUCUAUAAUUCACUAUAUUUUGCUCUUUCAAAACAUCUCUUUCCCCAAUGACUUAUGUGAGACUUUAUGAGGAACAUUGAAAGUAUAUAACAUAGGUUGAACAUACUACUUGUUAUUCGAACCAUAACUUCGAUUUUACACUUAAAUUGUCAGCAUCAUGACUUUAGACUCCCAAGAUAUGUUGUGGGUGUAUCAGCAAAGGUCCCCCAUAAUACUACUAUUCAAUCUGAAAUGUGUUCAGUUACUGCUGCAGCUGACUUCCUCCAAUGUAUGCUGUGUGAGGAUACAAUCAAAAAAUUCUGUCUCUUAAAUUGCAAUCCAUGAGAACUCAUAAUUCAUAACAGCAUCUGAGGGUGAGGAACAAACCAACAAGGGUUUCUAAGAAAAAGUGGAAUAUGAAAUAAUCAUUAAGUGUCAUUAGAUGAGUUUUCAUUGACAAAUGUUGAGCAAUGUAAAACCGCAACCAGUAAAUGCCAAAUACUUCAGAAAGACUUGACUUUAGACUCGGUAGCCAAGCGACUUGACUGGACUUUGACUCGAACUACUACAUGACUUGACAAGUCAUCUUGUUUAGUGUUGGAAAUCUGCAUUUUAAUUGAGACAGUUUGAAGAACUGAACAAGAAACAUUUUGGGGGGGGGGGUCAUUCGCUCCAACCUUGUAACACAGUCUGCGUCGUGCACUUACCAGUGUGACGUAGCCACCUGCAUGAACAACAAUGGAAGGAGCUCCAAAGACAAUCCAAUUUGGAUUCAAGGAUUAUGUUGUGGUUAGCACAUCUGCCUUACAGUUCUGAGGACCCGCGUUCAAAUCCGGCCUCGCCUGCUCUGUUUUCCUCCCAGAUCCUAAAAAGAUGCAUUGUAGGUUAAUUGGCGACUCUAAAUUGCCCGUAGGUGUGAAUGACAGUGCGAAUGGUUGUUUGUUUAUAGGUGCCCUGCGAUUGGCUGGCGACUAGUUCAGGGUGUAUCCUGCCUCUUGCCAAAAGAUAGCUGGGAUAGGGUCCAACCCACCUGCGACCCUGGUGAUGAUAAGCGCUUGGCUGCCGCCCGCCGCCAUGACGCGAGCGAGUCGCCUGGGAGCGUAAAUAGAACUGAUGAAGCAUUCUGUUACUCACUUCUAAAUCUUCAGCGAACGACCAAUGAGCAGCCAGCAUGGAGGCGGGGGGUCACGGGGCGCUGGAGCCUAUCCCAGCUGACUUUGGGCGAAAGGCGGACUACACCCGGAACUGGUCGCCAGUCAGUCGCAGGGCACAUACAGACACGGACAACCAUUCGCAAUGAAAUGAACCCACGCUGCCCGCACCAAAGUCAGCGGACACGCCAUGAAAAGAUGACACCCAGCACACCAGUCUCCGGCGAGACUCGCUCUUCCCGCCGAGAUAGGCAACCACGGAGUGGCGAGACUCAACUUCACAUACAGACGCUAAGUGAAUCACAAGGCGGUGUCAUCAAAAGCAAGCCACGGACAUUUGCUUUUGCACGCCGACGCUAUGUGAAUUACCAGCACCCGGAGCAUCAAAGCGGAGACCAAAGAUACCUAUUUCACACUAGAACGCUAAAUUAAUUAACUUCCACCACCAGCCCGGAGGAUUUCACCAACAAAGGCAUCUCCACCCUGCUGGGUAUCGCGCCACUUGGCCAGUCAAGCCGGACAAUGGACAGUGUGCUCGCGACACCAACAGGCGACGAAACGGCACUGCAGACGCGGGGUCAUUAAACACAGUCAUUAUCGGACUUGGCUGGGAGUUAAUAUUUUAAGAACUUUACAUGAACGCCACUAGUGACUGUAUUUCUGCAAACUUGAAUCUCUCAUGUCGAAUCUGUUGUCAACUGAACCAGAUGGAAGGUUUUCACUCCACACCACAUUUCAAAUAUUAUUGUUCUCAACAAUUACAUAACAUUUGAAACAUUCGUUACAUGUACUAAAGAGGAUGGGCGUGAGACAAUGCAAAGCGGGAAAAUGGUCUCAUUAUCUUAAAUCCAGUAAUUAAUAUUUUAUUCCACUGGUUUUCAACCACGAAAUAAUUCCAAAAUGGAAAAUUAACACUCAGAGGCAGUCCAGCUCCCCUUUUGGUCCCGUAGGUGGUGGGAAAUGAAGGAGGGAGGGGGUAAACAAUCCCCUUUUUGGCUCACUAUGGCCAUGAAAAGGCCAGAGCUAUGCUCUCUGUGUCAGCUCUUGUCUCACCCGUCCAACUUGGCGAAGACUGGCCCAGGCAGGACGCCCACCCCACCAUGAGGGGGCGAGGACACAUCGGACCAUGCCCGGCUGCAGAGCAUCCUGCAAGCGCUCCGAGCUACCCUUUUUGGGGGCCUGAGCUCACCCCAGGGGAGGACGGCGGCGGGCACAACCCGCCACUCCGCACGUCUUGCGAGCAGAGACACCCGGAAUCCGGCCGUCCUGCCUGGGAACUUUUUGGGCUCCUUUUUUCCUUUUUCUUCUUCCUUUCCGCCAAAUCCACCUGUUCCCCGUGCGGACCGGGCCGGCAGAACACUCGGAAGCUUGACCUGCCUUCCUCAAUCGUGUUCAAGACACGUAAGCCCAACAUUGCGGUCUACUACAAGUACAGAUUAGUGCAUAUUUGGGUUUAAAUUAAUGAGAUCAGGAAUCCCCAGCUAUAUACAUUCACUACACGUUCAUUCUACCAAUCUCACAUCACAAGUCAGUUUCCUUUGCCAAUGUUCGUCUGUACUUUGUUUGUUUUGUCUUUUUCUGCAUUGUUUUCCUGUAGAUUCCCCAUGUUAAAUCAUUAAAUUUUCCAUUAAAUUCACUACCUGCAUUGUUGUGUGUGUUUGGGUUCGAGGAAAGAAACCUCUGGCCAUCUAGAACUCUUAUCAAAAUUUCAGAAAGUGU